rnacentral:rRNA from 1 species
UACAGAGGGGGCAAGCGUUGUUCGGAAUUACUGGGCGUAAAGGGCGCGUAGGCGGCCUGUUAAGUCGAACGUGUAAUCCCCGGGCUCAACCCGGGAACUGCGUCCGAAACUGGCAGGCUCGAAUCCGGGAGAGGGAUGCGGAAUUCCAGGUGUAGCGGUGAAAUGCGUAGAGAUGUGGAGGAACACCGAUGGCGAAGGCAGCCUUCUGGGCCAAUACUGACGCUCAUGCACGAAAGCGUGGGGAGCAAACAGG